rnacentral:rRNA from 1 species
AGAGUUUGAUCCUGGCUCAGAUUGAACGCUGGCGGAAUGCUUUACACAUGCAAGUCGAGCGGCAGCGCGGGGCAACCUGGCGGCGAGCGGCGAACGGGUGAGUAAUGCAUCGGAACAUGUCCAUGUCGUGGGGGAUAGCCCGGCGAAAGCCGGAUUAAUACCGCAUAAGCCCGAGAGGGGAAAGCAGGGGACCGCAAGGCCUUGCGCGAUUGGGUUGGCCGAUGUCCGAUUAGCUUGUUGGUGAGGUAAAGGCUUACCAAGGCGAUGAUCGGUAGCUGGUCUGAGAGGAUGAUCAGCCACACUGGGACUGAGACACGGCCCAGACUCCUACGGGAGGCAGCAGUGGGGAAUUUUGGACAAUGGGGGCAACCCUGAUCCAGCCAUUCCGCGUGAGUGAAGAAAGGCCUUCGGGUUGUAAAGCUCUUUUGUCCGGAAGCGAAAACGGUGGCGGUGGAAAUAUCCGCCACUAACUGACGGAACCGGAAAG